CCUACGGGUGGCAGCAGUGAGGAAUAUUGGUCAAUGGGCGGGAGCCUGAACCAGCCAAGUCGCGUGAGGGAAGACGGUCCUAUGGAUUGUAAACCUCUUUAGGCGGGGAGCAAUGCCGGGCACGUGUGCCCGGAGGGAGAGUACCCGCAGAAUAAGCAUCGGCUAACUCCGUGCCAGCAGCCGCGGUAAUACGGAGGAUGCGAGGUUUAUCGGGAUUUAUUGGGUUUAAGGGGUCCGUAGGCGGAGUUUUAAGUCAGCGGGAAAAUGUGCGGUGUCAACCCGGGCCGGCCGUUGAAACUGGGGAUCUUGAGUGGGCGAGAAGUAUGCGGAAUGCGUGGUGUAGCGGUGAAAUGCAUAGAUAUCACGCAGAACUCCGAUUGCGAAGGCAGCAUGCCGGAGCCCGACUGACGCUGAGGCACGAAAGCGUGGGGAUCGAACAGGAUUAGAUACCCGGGUAGUC
rnacentral:rRNA from 1 species